rnacentral:rRNA from 1 species
GACGAACGCUGGCGGCGUGCUUAACACAUGCAAGUCGAACGGUAAGGCCCUUCGGGGUACACGAGUGGCGAACGGGUGAGUAACACGUGGGUGAUCUGCCCUGCACUUCGGGAUAAGCCUGGGAAACUGGGUCUAAUACCGGAUAGGACCCUGGGAUGCAUGUCCAGGGGUGGAAAGCUUUUGCGGUGUGGGAUGGGCCCGCGGCCUAUCAGCUUGUUGGUGGGGUGAUGGCCUACCAAGGCGACGACGGGUAGCCGGCCUGAGAGGGUGACCGGCCAGACUGGGACUGGGAUACGGCCCAGACUCCUACGGGAGGCAGCAGUGGGGAAUAUUGCACAAUGGGCGCAAGCCUGAUGCAGCGACGCCGCGUGAGGGAUGACGGCCUUCGGGUUGUAAACCUCUUUCAGCACCGACGAAGCGCAAGUGACGGUAGGUGCAGAAGAAGGACCGGCCAACUACGUGCCAGCCGCCGCGGUAA